AUUUUGGGCGUAAGGGCUUCGCAGGCGGUUUUUUAAGUUCUGAAUGUGAAAGCCCCCCGGCUUCAACCGGGGAGGGUCCAUUUGGAAACUGGGGAACUUUGAGUUGCAGAAGAGGAGAGUGGAAUUUCCACGUGUAGCGGUGAAAUUGCGUAGAGAUGUGGAGGAACACCAGUGGCGAAGGCGACUCUCUGGUCUGUAACUGACGCUGAGGAGCGAAAGCGUGGGGAGCGAACAGGAUUAGAUACCCUGGUAGUCCACGCCGUAAACGAUGAGUGCUAAGUGUUAGGGGGUUUCCGCCCCUUAGUGCUGCAGCUAACGCAUUAAGCACUCCGCCUGGGGAGUACGGUCGCAAGACUGAAACUCAAAGGAAUUGACGGGGGCCCGCACAAGCGGUGGAGCAUGUGGUUUAAUUCGAAGCAACGCGAAGAACCUUACCAGGUCUUGACAUCCUCUGACAAUCCUAGAGAUAGGACGUCCCCUUCGGGGGCAGAGUGACAGGUGGUGCAUGGUUGUCGUCAGCUCGUGUCGUGAGAUGUUGGGUUAAGUCCCGCAACGAGCGCAACCCUUGAUCUUAGUUGCCAGCAUUCAGUUGGGCACUCUAAGGUGACUGCCGGUGACAAACCGGAGGAAGGUGGGGAUGACGUCAAAUCAUCAUGCCCCUUAUGACCUGGGCUACACACGUGCUACAAUGGACAGAACAAAGGGCAGCGAAACCGCGAGGUUAAGCCAAUCCCACAAAUCUGUUCUCAGUUCGGAUCGCAGUCUGCAACUCGACUGCGUGAAGCUGGAAUCGCUAGUAAUCGC
rnacentral:rRNA from 1 species